rnacentral:lncRNA from 1 species
GCAAGACUCUCUUAAAAAGAGUCUCUGCCCCUUCUGUCAGCCAUCCGACUGAGUUGUAUUCAAAGCCAGAAUGCUGCUGUAUAUACUCUUCUGUUUGCUGCUUGUUGUGCAAGCACAUUUGAAUUGCCGAGUUCGUGAAACUAUCCAGCUUACAAACACGUUACUUGAAAGAAAAUUUGAAGACUGUGCGUGUAAUGAAACUAACCAUAAUUCAUGCUUAUGUCUUCCCAUUCCAAAAAAUGCCUGUUUAAAAUGCUUUGUGGAACCCAAUCGAGGAAUACAAGAAAAACUGUCUACUAUGGGCAGUGAAGGUAGGCGUUUAUAUCGCUACCUUCAGCAAGUUCAACACUGGUGCACACCACUCUUUCCUUGUAAUGAAAUCUGCGAGGCUUCCCCAGGGAAUGUGAUUAAUUUCUUAACAUCAGUCCGAGCAGCUCUGCAAAAACUGGAGCGCCAAUAAUGGAAGGGGAAAAAUAUUAUUUAUUAUAUUUAUUCUCUAAAUAACAUAUAAAAGAUUUAAUAUAUAGAAACUGUAACAGAUAAUUUACUUAAAACAAUAAAACUGUAAUUUAUAUAACCCC